AAUCAACGCUGGCGGCGUGCCUAACACAUGCAAGUCGAACGCGAAAGGGGCUUCGGCCCUGAGUAGAGUGGCAAACGGGUGAGUAACACGUGGGUGACCUGCCUCAGAGUGGGGGAUAACGUCCCGAAAGGGACGCUAAUACCGCAUAACAUCCUGCCUUUGGAAAGGCGGAGAUCAAAGCCGGGGAUCGCAAGACCUGGCGCUUGGAGAGGGGCCCGCGUCUGAUUAGCUAGUUGGAGGUAAUGGCCUACCAAGGCAACGAUCAGUAGCCGGCCUGAGAGGGCGGACGGCCACACUGGGACUGAGACACGGCCCAGACUCCUACGGGAGGCAGCAGUGGGGAAUUGUUCGCAAUGGCGCAAGCCUGACGACGCAACGCCGCGUGGAGGAUGAAGAUUUUCGGAUCGUAAACUCCUGUCGAGCGGACGAACACCUGCCGGCUAACAUCCAGGCAGGCUG
rnacentral:rRNA from 1 species